ACGAACGCUGGCGGCGCGCCUAACACAUGCAAGUCGAACGGAGCUGAGAGAAGCUUGCUUUUCUUAGCUUAGUGGCGAACGGGUGAGUAACGCGUGAGUAACCUGCCCUUGAGUGGGGGACAACAGUUGGAAACGACUGCUAAUACCGCAUAAGCCCACGAUCCGGCAUCGGAUUGAGGGAAAAGGAUUUAUUCGCUUCAGGAUGGACUCGCGUCCAAUUAGCUAGUUGGUGAGGUAACGGCCCACCAAGGCGACGAUUGGUAGCCGGACGGAGAGGUUGGACGGCCACACUGGGACGGAGUCACGGCCCAGACUCCUACAGGACGAAGCAGUGGGGGAUAUUGCACAAUGGCGGAAACACUGAUGAUGCGACGCCGCGUAGAGGAAGAAUGUUUACGGAUUGUAAACUACUGUCGUUACUGACGAUAAUGACGGUACCUAACAAGAAAGCCCCGGCUAACUACGUG
rnacentral:rRNA from 1 species